rnacentral:rRNA from 1 species
AACGAACGCUGGCGGCAUGCCUAACACAUGCAAGUCGAACGAGACCUUCGGGUCUAGUGGCGCACGGGUGCGUAACGCGUGGGAACCUGCCCUUAGGUUCGGAAUAACUCCCCGAAAGGGGUGCUAAUACCGGAUAAUGUCUUCGGACCAAAGAUUUAUCGCCUUUGGAUGGGCCCGCGUUGGAUUAGCUAGUUGGUAGGGUAAAAGCCUACCAAGGCGACGAUCCAUAGCUGGUCUGAGAGGAUGAUCAGCCACACUGGGACUGAGACACGGCCCAGACAAGGAGGGGAGGAAGAAGUGGGGAAGAGGGGAAAGUGGGAGAGAGCUGGAUCGAGAAAGGCAGCGUGAAUGAAGAAGGACGGAGGGGGGUAAAGCGCGCGGAACCGGGAUGAGAAGGAGAGGGGAGAGAGAGUGAGAGAGGGCGAGGGACGAG